UGAGGGUGAAGCCAUCCCUAAAAAAAAAAAAGACGUAAAGUUGGGUCACCAAACAAGGAUCUUGAUGAAACCAUGGACCCUGAUAUGAAGAGGGGCCCUCCAGAGAGCGCAGAGUCUAUUUCCUCUGGUUUUCUAUCAAUGAAGACUGAGCGAUCCAUGGAUAUCCCUCUUAAUAUCAAAGGAGCAGACUCUCCACAAAACAAAGGGCCAGGAGCGGUA